GAGCCGCAAUAACUCAGUGGUUAAUGCGUUAGACUCGUGACUUAACGGAUGUAGGUUCAAUUCCUACUAUUGGAUCG